GAUGAACGCUGGCGGCGUGCCUAAUACAUGCGAGUCGAGCGAACGGACGAGAAGCUUGCUUCUCUGAUGUUAGCGGCGGACGGGUGAGUAACACGUGGAUAACCUACCUAUAAGACUGGGAUAACUUCGGGAAACCGGAGCUAAUACCGGAUAAUAUUUUGAACCGCAUGGUUCAAAAGUGAAAGACGGUCUUGCUGUCACUUAUAGAUGGAUCCGCGCUGCAUUAGCUAGUUGGUAAGGUAACGGCUUACCAAGGCAACGAUGCAUAGCCGACCUGAGAGGGUGAUCGGCCGCACUGGAACUGAGACACGGUCCAGACUCCUACGGGAGGCAGCAGUAGGGAAUCUUCCGCAAUGGGCGAAAGCCUGACGGAGCAACGCCGCGUGAGUGAUGAAGGUCUUCGGAUCGUAAAACUCUGUUAUUAGGGAAGAACAUAUGUGUAAGUAACUGUGCACAUCUUGACGGUACCUAAUCAGAAAGCCACGGCUAACUACGUG
rnacentral:rRNA from 1 species